UCAAGUUAUUAAGGGUGCAGGGCGGAUGCCUUGGCACUAGGAGCCGAUGAAGGACGUGAUAAGCUGCGAUAAGCUUCGGGGAGUUGCACGUAAACUUUGAUCCGAAGAUUUCCGAAUGAGGAAACUCACUUAGAGUAAUGUCUAAGUAUCAUUAAGUGAAUACAUAGCUUAAUGAGGGGAACUCAGGGAACUGAAACAUCUAAGUACCUGAAGGAAGAGAAAGAAAUUCGAUUCCGUAAGUAGCGGCGAGCGAACGCGGAUUAGCCCAAACCAAUAAAGUUUUCUUUAUUGGGGUUGCGGACAUAUCAUAACGAAGAGGUAUCGUAAUUGAAGAGGUUUGGAAAGACCCACCACAGAAGGUAAUAGUCCUGUAUGUUAAACGAGAAGACUUCAGAUAUGAUCCAGAGUACCACGGGACACGUGAAACCCUGUGGGAAGCAGGAGGGACCACCCUCCAAGGCUAAAUACUACCUAGUGACCGAUAGCGUAUAGUACCGUGAGGGAAAGGUGAAAAGAACCCCGGGAGGGGAGUGAAAUAGAACCUGAAACCCUGCACUUACAAGCUGUGGAAGCACAUUUCUUGUGUGACCGCGUACUUUUUGUAGAACGGGCCAACGAGUUACGUUAAGUAGCAAGGUUAAGCACUUAAGGUGUGGAGCCGUAGCGAAAGCGAGUUUUAACUGAGCGUUCAGUUACUUGACGUAGACCCGAAACCGGGCGACCUACCCAUGAGCAGGAUGAAGCGAAAGUAAAAUUUCGUGGAGGUCCGAACCCACGAGCGUUGAAAAGCUCGGGGAUGACUUGUGGGUAGCGGUGAAAUUCCAAUCGAGCCCGGAGAUAGCUGGUUCUCCCCGAAAUAGCUUUAGGGCUAGCCUCAAGGUGAGAGAUACGGAGGUAGAGCACUGAAUGUCCUAGGGGGUAUUGCACCUACCGAAGACUAUCAAACUCCGAAUGCCGUCAUCUUAUACUUGGGAGUCAGACUGUGGGUGAUAAGAUUCAUAGUCGAAAGGGCAACAGCCCAGAUCGUCAGCUAAGGUCCCUAAAUGUAAGUUAAGUGGUAAAGGAUGUGGGAUUGCACAGACAACCAGGAAGUUGGCUUAGAAGCAGCCACUCAUUCAAAGAGUGCGUAAUAGCUCACUGGUCGAGUGAUCCUGCGCCGAAGAUUUCCGGGGCUAAAACUUACUACCGAAGCUACGGCAUCAGUAAUGAUGGGUAGGGGAGCUUCCCAUACGGGUUGAAGCAUGACCGUAAGGACAUGUGGACAGUAUGGGAGUGAGAAUGUUGGCAUGAGUAGCGAGAUGUGGGUGAGAAUCCCACAGGCCGUAAACCCAAGGUUUCCAGGGGAAGGUUCGUCCGCCCUGGGUUAGUCGGGACCUAAGCUGAGGCCGAAAGGCGUAGGUGAUGGACAACAGGUUGAUAUUCCUGUACUACCGAUAACCGUUUGAGAGAAGGGAUGACACAGUAGGAUAAGCUAAGCACACUGUUGGUUAUGUGUGCCCAAGCAUUGAGGCAGUCAAAGUAGGCAAAUCCGCUUUGAUAAUGCUGGGAUGUGAUGGGGAGCGAAAUUUAGUAGCGAAGUAGCUGAUUUCACACUGUCAAGAAAAGUCUCUAUCGAGGUUAAAGGUACCCGUACCGCAAACCGACACAGGUGGGUGAGGAGAGUAUCCUAAGGCCAGCGAGAGAACUGUUGUUAAGGAACUCGGCAAAAUGACCCCGUAACUUAGGGAUAAGGGGUGCCACCAUCAGGUGGCCGCAGAGAAUAGGCCCAAGCGACUGUUUACCAAAAACAUAGGUUUCUGCUAAGUCGCAAGACGAUGUAUAGGAGCUGACGCCUGCCCGGUGCUGGAAGGUUAAGGGGAUCUGUUAGAGCAAUCGAAGCAGUGAACUUAAGCCCCAGUAAACGGCGGCCGUAACUAUAACGGUCCUAAGGUAGCGAAAUUCCUUGUCGGGUAAGUUCCGACCCGCACGAAAGGCGUAACGAUUUGGGCACUGUCUCAACAACAGACUCGGUGAAAUUGUAAUUCCGGUGAAGAUGCCGGAUACCUGCGACAGGACGGAAAGACCCCAUGGAGCUUUACUGUAGCUUGACAUUGGGUCUUGGUACUACAUGUACAGGAUAGGUGGGAGGCUUUGAAACCAGGACGCCAGUUUUGGCGGAGCCAUCCUUGGGAUACCACCCUUGUAGUACUGGGACUCUAACCAUAGGCCAUGAAUCUGGUCUUGGGACACUGUCAGGUGGGCAGUUUGACUGGGGCGGUCGCCUCCCAAAAGGUAACGGAGGCGCUCAAAGGUUCUCUCAGUACGGUCGGAAAUCGUACGUAGAGUGUAAAGGCAAAAGAGAGCUUGAUUGCAAGACAUACAGGUCGAGCAAGGAUGAAAAUCGGACUUAGUGAUCCGGUGGUUCUGCGUGGAAGGGCCAUCGCUCAACGGAUAAAAGCUACCCUGGGGAUAACAGGCUUAUCUCCCCCAAGAGUCCACAUCGACGGGGAGGUUUGGCACCUCGAUGUCGGCUCAUCACAUCCUGGGGCUGUAGUAGGUCCCAAGGGUUGGGCUGUUCGCCCAUUAAAGUGGUACGCGAGCUGGGUUCAGAACGUCGUGAGACAGUUCGGUCCCUAUCCGUCGCAGGCGUAGGAAAUUUGAGAAGACCUGUCCUUAGUACGAGAGGACCGGGAUGGACGUACCUCUGGUGUACCAGUUGUUCUGCCAAGGGCAUGGCUGGGUAGCUAUGUACGGAAUGGAUAAGCGCUGAAAGCAUCUAAGCGCGAAGCCAACUUCAAGAUAAGAUUUCCCACCGCAAGGGUAAGACCCCAGAAAGACUAUCUGGUUGAUAGGUCGAAGGUGUAAGUGCAGCAAUGUAUUUAGCUUAUCGAUACUAAUAGGUCGAGGACUUGACCAA
rnacentral:rRNA from 1 species